AAUCGCAAGCCGUGUUUAGGUGCUUGUUGGCAUUGUCGACAAGGUAAACGGGAAAUCGGUGCAAAUCCGAUACUGCCCCCGCAACGGUAAUAGGUUAAAGUCAAUCAGAAGCCACUGCGUUUGGCGUGGGAAGGCGAUUGACUGUGGCAUUGGGAAUACGAAGUAAAUCUUAAUUCCGAGCACCUUGAAAUAAAUCUACAAAACGAAGUUUCAAGGUUUUGCCUACUUAUAAGUCCGGAUACCGGCCUAAAUAUUGUUUUUAUG
rnacentral:ncRNA from 2 species